UACGUAGGGUGCAAGCGUUGUCCGGAAUUAUUGGGCGUAAAGAGCUCGUAGGCGGUCUGUCACGUCGGAUGUGAAAAUCCAGGGCUUAACCCUGGACCUGCAUUCGAUACGGGCAGACUAGAGUGUGGUAGGGGAGACUGGAAUUCCUGGUGUAGCGGUGAAAUGCGCAGAUAUCAGGAGGAACACCGGUGGCGAAGGCGGGUCUCUGGGCCAUAACUGACGCUGAGGAGCGAAAGCGUGGGGAGCGAACAGG
rnacentral:rRNA from 1 species